CUCGUAGGCGGUUCAGCAAGUCGGCUGUGAAAUUCCGAGGCUCAACCUCGGAACUGCAGUCGAUACUGCUGUGACUCGAGUCCGGUAGAGGAGAAUGGAAUUCCCGGUGUAGCGGUGAAAUGCGCAGAUAUCGGGAGGAACACCAGUAGCGAAGGCGGUUCUCUGGGCCGGUACUGACGCUGAGGAGCGAAAGCGUGGGAGCAAC
rnacentral:rRNA from 1 species